ensembl:lncRNA
GGGGAGCGAGCGGGAAGAGAGCUGCACGCUGCGGUGACCCCGGGUUAUUAAUUGAGUGUGGCGCAGCUGCCUGGGAAGGCGCCCGCCCGCCGGGAGCAGCCUCUGUGCAGCGCCUCACUGAGCAGAGCCAUUUUCUUCUCCGCAGGGAAGCAGGGGGGCGGAGAGCGGCGCCGCCACCUGGUGAGCAGCGACGCCUGCACUCGUCACGGAAACGGGGGAGGCCAACGCAGGCCCUCGGUUCAUUCUAGGGGCCCCGGGACUCUGUUACUGUUCUUCAUGCACUAACUUGUGAAGAAGAGACGCAGACGCGGAGCUGGGAGCCCUAGAAGCCGGCGAGAGUCAAGUCUCCAGUAGCCUCGCUUCCGGUGCAGUCCUCGAAGAAGCCGGUCCCAAGGAACCGGUGCUGCAGGCAGAUGUGCCUGGGGCCAGGCGGGCUGCAGUGCAUCCUGGCGGACACUAGAGGGCGCAGGCGGACAGGCUCGCAGACCUGAGCUGAGGCCCCGCCCCUGGACACACCUCCACCCGCUUUCUGCCGCCCUCGGGUGCCUCAGUUUCUCCAUCCAUAAACUAGGACUGCUCUGCACCGCACUCCCCCCGCCUUAUGCGGC